CAAGUCGAGCGGAGACAGAAGACUUCGGUUUUCUGUUUUAGCGGCGGACGGGUGAGUAACGCGUGAGCAAUCUGUCCCAGACAGGGGGAUAACACUUGGAAACAGGUGCUAAUACCGCAUAAGACCACGAGAUCACAUGGUUUCGGGGUAAAAGGAGCAAUCCGGUUUGGGGUGAGCUCGCGUCCGAUUAGCUAGUUGGUGAGGUAACGGCCCACCAAGGCGACGAUCGGUAGCCGACCUGAGAGGGUGAUCGGCCACAUUGGAACUGAGAAACGGUCCAAACUCC
rnacentral:rRNA from 1 species